GUGCUUUUGGCAGUACAGCGUCUGUUUGCGGAGCGGGGCCGGAAACGGAAGGUGGGAGAGGAAGUGAUAUAACCGGUUUGGACGCCAACCGCGUUUGCAGAGGAAUCGUCCAGGAGCUCUAGCCAGAUAAGAAUAUGGCAGAAAUGGACCUGAGCAGCCUGGACAUCCUUCUAAGGAUACAUAAACAGUCCUCAUGUUUCUGCCUUCUGCAUCACUGGCUUACCAAGGGAAAAGAAAUCAAACAUCAGAGUUUACUCUCCUCAUUGGAUGGAAAGCGAGUGAGAGCAGUGAGCCCGCAAGCAUUGUUGAUGCAAGUGAAGAGCCGUCCGGUUGGCAGUGGAGCAGUUGCUACUGUCAGUGAGAUAAGUGUGGUUUCGAGAGGGCUCUGCUCAUGACCCGCCUGGCUCCAGAUAGGGCCACCCCAUUGGCUGGGGCUGGGUUUGUGAGAAAUGCUUCCUGACCAGCUGUGCUUACGAGAGAGACAAGAUCCCCAUUUUCAGGGGCUGCUCAUUUCUCUUGCCAGGAGCGGUGUGUCCUCCACAGCAGAAGG